AGCAGCCGCGGUAAUUCCAGCUCCAAUAGCGUAUAUUAAAGUUGUUGCAGUUAAAAAGCUCGUAGUUGAAUUUCGGGGUCAGUAAGUUGGUCGUGCCACUGGUAUGCACUGGCUUUACUGACUCCUCCUCCUUGAAGAACUGUGAUGCCAUUAAUUUGGUGUUGCAGGGAAACAGGACUGUUACUUUGAAAAAAUUAGAGUGUUUAAAGCAGGCUAACGCUUGAAUACAUUAGCAUGGAAUAAUGAAAUAGGACGUUUGACCCUAUUUUGUUGGUUUCUAGGAUCGACGUAAUGAUUAAUAGGGAUAGUUGGGGGCAUUAGUAUUCAAUUGUCAGAGGUGAAAUUCUUGGAUUUAUUGAAGACUAACUACUGCGAAAGCAUUUGCCAAGGAUGUUUUCAUUAAUCAAGAACGAAAGUUAGGGGAUCGAAGACGAUCAGAUACCGUCGUAGUCUUAACCAUAAACUAUGCCGACUAGGGAUCGGAUGAUGUUAAUUUUUAAUGACUCAUUCGGCGCCUUAA
rnacentral:rRNA from 1 species